UACUAUAAUAAUCGUGUAGAC
rnacentral:piRNA from 1 species